rnacentral:rRNA from 2 species
GGGACCCGCACAAGCAGCGGAGCAUGUGGUUUAAUUCGAAGCAACGCGAAGAACCUUACCAGGGCUUGACAUCCCUCUGACAGUCCCUUAACCGGGACCCUUCUUCGGACAGAGGAGACGAGGUGGUGCAUGGUUGUCGUCAGCUCGUGUCGUGAGAUGUUGGGUUAAGUCCCGCAACGAGCGCAACCCUUGUCUUUAGUUGCCAUCAUUCAGUUGGGCACUCUAGAGAGACUGCCGAGGACAACUCGGAGGAAGGUGGGAUGACGUCAAAUCAUCAUGCCCCUUAUGUCCUGGGCUACACACGUGCUACAAUGGCUGGUACAAAGAGACGCAAGACCGCGAGGUGGAGCAAAUCUCAAAAACCAGUCCCAGUUCGGAUUGCAGGCUGCAAUUCGCCUGCAUGAAGUCGGAAUCGCUAGUAAUCGCAGGUCAGCAUACUGCGGUGAAUACGUUCCCGGGCCUU